rnacentral:lncRNA from 1 species
UAGUCUGCAAAGAUCUGCAACAACAUGCUGUUGGCUAUAAGUAUGAUUGGAACCGCUGAAGCUAUGAACCUUGGAAUCAGGUUUGUUGAAAAGAACAUUUUCAUAUACUAAUAAUUUUCAUUGUCUUCCCUAUUUGAUUUUUUAUGUUAGAAGAAUGACGUUCAUGGUAAUAAAUGAGUUGGUUCAGGAGCGUGUUGAAAGUGUUUCAUUACUGAGUUUUGAUAGACUUUGCUUAUUGGACAAGCAAUAGGCCUCUAGGGAACAUCAGCACUCUUUGCCACAGCCAUAAAUGUAGUGCACUGUGCACUGAAGUUGUGUUAUGCUUUGUAUAUUGGAGCCCCAUAUCUUCUGUUCUACUUAAGUAGAAAAACUGUAAAAUUCAAACCUACUUUGGCAAUGUUGGGACAGAUUUGAAUGAAACAUGAUUCAAAUGAGUCAUGAAUUCAAGUGCUAUGCUACCAUGUGACUAGUUUUAUAUGCCUGUUUUAAACAUACUUCUCAGAAUCUGUACUAGCAAGAUCUUGGUGCUCUGUUGUCAGAACAAUCAGGCUUCCAUUCCUAAAGGUACAAUUCAUGUAUAUAACUUUUAUUUUAGCUUGCUUGGUUAUCCUAGAUUAGAAAGUAUCUUUUAAAAAAUACAAUGUUCACUAAUUGUUUACUUAGAGUGAGUCCAAAAUUCUGUUUUUCUUUCCAAUGAUCAUUCUCUAGAAUGCUUAAGGUUAAUGCCUUAAUUUCGUCUUUAAUCCUUUGGAUUGGAAAUGCUACAUAUGAUUAAUCACCUAAUUAAUAUUUUUAAUAUUCUGCAUCUCACAAAUAUAAUAAAUACAUAUCUUUUAUUUUAGAGAACUGCUCAGUGUGUACAGGUUGCUUUAGUCAUAGCUUUAUUUCUUAUCCUGGGCUGCUGAUCAGAUACAGCACAAAGCAGAAGAGUGGCCUGCACACAGCUUUUGAUAAAAGCAAUGAAAAGAGCCAAAGUGCUUGAGAUAUUUUUAAAAACAUGGUAAUGGAUUCACAUUCCCUCUUAAUUACCAUAUCAAGAUGCUGUUGUUUUAUUGAACUGCCCGUCUCAGGUGUUAAACUAUCUUGACCUAUUAAGUUGUCAUGUUGUAAUUGAGAUAAAAGAGGAAUUUGCUUUGCAUCAGCGCUAAUUGGUUUAUCAAUAUCCCAUACCAUUUACAUUUUAGAGCCAAAUGUCUAUAAGAUGGUGAGGCAUGUUUGUACAAAGCCUUAAUAAAACUGUUGUACAUGGAGCCCUUCAGACCAUCAUAUUUGUGCCAUGGCCAGUUUCAGGCUAUGGGUGGUUGUCAUGAAAACCUUGUUAUUUAUUUUCACAUCGUUCUCUAAAUCAGUUUCAUGAAAGAAGAAAACAAAACUUUCUGACACUCGAGUUGCAUAUAAAGUUAAUUUUUGCUUACAACAGAAUUAAUAUCCAUUUAAAUGUAUAUGUAUGAUUUUAUUCUUAUUUUUCUGGAAUAAGGGACUAGACCAUGAAAGUAAGAGCCUGUGUAAACAGAGUUUCACACCCAGAUUCAUGACAUGACAUGCCCUGUCCUCACUAGUUUGUCUUUCACUCCUCACGCAGCCCAGCACUGGCACAACUCUGUGUCUUCCCACAGAAAGAAUAAUUCUUGAAUAAUUUUCCUGUCAAAAUUCUGAUUUUGACAUUUUUCAAAUUGUUCCCUGGGAUCCACACAGGGGGAGGCAAGCACUGAUUCCCACAUGGUAUCCUCUGAUCACACACAUGCCAUGGCACAUGUGCACACUCAUACACACACACACACAAGUAUAAUUUUAAAAAAUAAAAUGAAACUUAUAUCUAAGGUAAGUCCUUGUAGAAAUUCACCAGAUGCCAACUAAUAAAGAACAAUAGGAAUAGCAACUGCACAAAGUGUAUAAUGAGCUGCAAGUCAUUGGCUACUGCAGUGGUUCUCAAGAAGAGUAUUAAAAGUGGAAUAAAAUCCACACAAGGACAUUAAUAGCAGAAAAAUAGCUUAUCUUAUUUUGGCCAUGACCCAGUAUAGAAAAAACAAUAUUUGACUAUAGAAAGAUUUUCUGUGGUUCCAUGGUAUAACAGAACCUAUCACUCUAGACUCUGAAAAAUAUG